rnacentral:rRNA from 1 species
UGGACAAUGGGGGGAAAGCCUGAUCCAGCCAUGCCGCGUGUGUGAAGAAGGUCUUCGGAUUGUAAAGCACUUUUAGUUGGGAGGAAGGGGAGUAACUUAAUACCUUGCUAUUUUGACGUUACCGACAGAAUAAGCCCCGGCUAACUUCGUGCCAGCAGCCGCGG